UUGCAACAAACAUCUAGAAUCUGUUACAAUUUUCACGGUCUUGAAGCUAGUUGUGUCACACGCUCUUUGUCAGCUUUGUUAUCUUUAAUCAAAGAUACGUGUGUAAUGUAUCGAUUUGCGUGACGCAUGUAAGGUGAAUACGCUCGCUCGAAGAUAUAUAUGCAAAGAAAUAUAAACUUCAUUAUUUACACCGAUCCGUCGCGAUGCCUGCGUAUCAUUCAAGCUUCGUCGAGAACAAUGGAAACGUCGGAAAUAUGGCACUUCUGCCAAUUAGAACUCAUUUUAGGGGUCCUGCGCCACCCUUGAACAAUAAAGAUCUAGAUAUAAUUGAUGAAGCAUUAUAUUUCUUUAAAGCGAAUGUGUUUUUUAGGACGUAUGAAAUUAAGAGUGAAGCAGACAGGGUUUUAAUUUAUAUCACGCUGUACAUAACGGAAUGCUUGAAAAGAUUGCAGAAAUGUGCAACUCAGGCUCAAGCAACAAAUGAAAUGUAUUCUCUUGCUAUUUCGAAAUUUGACAUUCCUGGUGAUUCUGGUUUUCCUUUAAAUUCUGUAUACGCGAAACCAAGUAAUCCUGUGGAAGCAGAUACUAUGAGGCAAUAUUUGCAACAAAUGAGACAAGAAACAGGCGUUAGACUUGUAGAGAAAGUAUAUGGUGAAGAUGGUAAACCGAGUAAAUGGUGGCUAUGUUUUGCAAAGAAAAAAUUCAUGGAUAAAUCGUUAUCUGGCCCUGGACAAUGAAAUAUAUAUUUUUUAACGCUAUUUUUAAAAAUACGCAUAAUGGAUAAACACAGAAAUUUAUUGUACAGGAUUACAGGAGUUCUAAUAUUCCUUGAAAUUAGAAAGACGAAAAAUUGGAUAGGAUAGACAUGAUAUCAUAUGGGACUUCCUAUCUGAUUUUGAACUUUGGAAAUAGUUCAAUGUUUCUUAUGCCCUAAUCUAAUAGUUAACACAUCUUAUAAAUAAGAAACAAUAUUAUGCGACAAGGAAAGAAGUUAAUGUCAGUUUUAUUGUGAUAAUGUUUCAGUAUUCCACGAAUUGAACAAUUUUUAUUUAAAAAAAAGCUAAUUA